UUUAUGAUAUUGACAGCGCCAGCGACGGUUGGGUAGUGGAUUACACUACAGAAAACGUUUAUAUAAUUGUUAUUGAUAUUGAAAAAAGUUUCCUUUUUAUUUCAUAUGGAAUUAGGAUUUAUUUAACAUUCUUAAAUGUUUGACUUGACUGUUGGAACUAUGUCUCAGUGCUACGACCGAGGAUCAAUCUGUGCAUGUCCUCCCGUGGCAUACGAACCUCACAAAAUGCAGAGACUCAUGCCCAGACAUAAUUUAUUUUACCCAUUGGAUUCUACACCGAAUCAGCCAAACUUGUUACAAUCAAAUACCUCCGCUCCAGUAAUGGACUGUGAAACAAAACAGAGCAACACUUUACAAAGUGUGUUACUGGGGAAAGUCCCAGCUGCCUACUCCCAUCUGACCUCACACAGGAAGUCUCCUUAUCAACUCAUCCUAGCUCAUUUCUGAACAUUCCGUCUCGGACUUCACCCAUCGGGUCACCGCAGUCGUUCCAGAUUUCUCAGGAGGUUCCAUUUUCACGUCAGUUUUCUCCACAGUGUCCUAUAAUCUCGUCGCCUCAUCGCUCAUCCCCUCAUCAUAUGCCAUCACCUCGCCUGAUGCCUUCACCGCACCCCUCCCUAUCGCCCCGGCAUUCAAUCUCGCCUGCUUCAUCUAGUUCCACAGAAAUUUGUCAAGACGAGCCCAUUGACCUGUCUUGCAAAGUGAUCAAGGAAGAAGAAAAUAAUACUCCUAGCGGUGAGGACAAGGACAAUGGCGGGUUCUCUUUAUUGAGGAACCUACUGUGUGUUGGAAAAAACAAUCAAACGAAUUCCCCCAAAUCUCCAGACUCGGGCAGCGAACAUGGCGACAGCGAGAGUUGUGUUAGAUUCCAUGUGACGGGGACGACGCCCGUUACCCUCGCCAAGAAAAACAUGUAUCCCGUGGGGUCGCGGGUAUCGGACUGGCUUGUGAAAAUCAUCCAAUUUGCAAAAUCCAUUCCGGAAUUUGUCAACCUCUCCCACAAUGACAAAGUGACAUUGAUUCUGAACUCAUGGACACGGCUUCUGCUACUGUACAUGUCAGAGAGUAACUUUCAGUUCGCUGUGACCCCCAUUCAUUCAGAGCAGCAGUCGGAGGAGUCCAGCGGCGACCCCCCGCCCAGCCAGCCCACCAUGAAAUCGGUGGAAAAUCUUCAGGGCUUCGUCCGCAAGUGCCAAACCAUGAAUCUGGAUCAAAAAGAGUACGCUUUCCUCAGAAUGGCAGUUUUGUUUAAUUCUGGCUAUGUGGGGUUGGACAGACCAGAUCAGGUAGAACAACUCAACUCCCUCAUCCAGCAGCUCUUACAGGAACACGCCCGUUCCACCCGCCCAACUGACCACCUCCAUUACAGCCGGGUCCUGCUCUGUCUCCCAGCUCUUUAUGGCAUUAACUGCAAAAUGAUCGAAAAUCUCUUCUGCAAGCAUAUCAACGGAAACAUGGACAUCGAUGUUCUCUUGAAAGAAAUGUUACAAAACUUAUAGCAAUUCCAUGUACUAACGUUACUGUAUAUGUUGUUUUAUUUAUUUCGUGGACUUUCUAUGACGCUGGGCGUCUCUUUAUUAUUUCCAUCAUUCCAUGGAGUGCGUGGUCCUGUCAAUGCGGAAAUGUUGUCAAUAUACAACACUCCCUAUAUUGUAUACAUGCAUGAUAUUAUUCUUUGUCAAGAUUUGAGGUUGACGCACAAUUAUUCUCAAUAUACAGCCAUAUGAACAUAGUUUUGAAGGUUACUCAUAGUCGAGGUAAUGACCUUGAUUUAUAUUCGUCUAGGAUCGCUGACCUUAAGUUUAACAACGCUAGCGUUCAGUCAACUCGCAACUUACGUUUUAGCUGAACCGAUCCUAAUUUGUAAAAGAAGUAUGAUGAAAUUCGCAUUUUAGGUGAAAUCAAUCGACAUAAGUGCGUCAACCCUUCUUGUCCUGUGUACCAGACAUGAGGUUGAAAAAAUGAUUGUUUCUGAUUGUCGUAAACAUAUGAGUAUGUGUCAUAUCCAUUUUAAUUUAUUUUUUCUUUUUUAAUAAUAUUAAAAAUUUAUAAGAACUAUG
rnacentral:misc_RNA from 1 species